GCCCCACCCCCUCGAGUAUAAAUAAGCGUGUUCUACGCACGUCAGUCCCUUUCAGCCAUAAUGUUGGAUUCGUGUAUUUUCAGAGAGGGCCUUUUAUGUGCAGAGACAAGUCUGGGAGAUACCUGGGUACCCUCCUGCAGGAUUUCUCUAAGAUAGGAGGUUAAGAAGAGGACUUUAAGAGCUAUGGUAUUACUUGGGAGUUGUGCAUAUGUGAUUUUUUUUUUUGCCUAAGGCUGCUGAUAGCUUUUUAAAUUUUUGUUUAUAAAAACAAUUUUCUCCAGUGAAAGUUGUAACUCUUAAAGAGCACAUUUCAAUGACUGUUAUAGCAACUGCAGCACUCUUGGUAUGGGUAGUCAGGUGUUUCACAAGGAUCAUUUAAGUGCACAAGGGGAUCAGUCUCCAAAACCAAAGGUAAAGUGGUAGAGAUCUUCAGAGACCUAGCAGCUGGAGGGGUGGUAAUUGAUUCUUCAUCAGAUAGGCAUAGGCUUUUUGAAAUUAGUGAAACAUCCAGAAGACCAAAAAAAAAAACAUGCUGACCACAGGUAUGAAGGAAAAACCCUUGUUAUGGGAUAGUUAAUUUUUACUGAUGAAAUUCACUUUUUCAUUCAAGGUAAUAAGGAAAUGUUUAGAGGAUUUUUCCCUUCCAGUAGUCCUGGAAGUCUUAAUCCAUUGAAGCAGCAAUGAACUCUGAUAAAUAUGUUGCUGUACUGAAAAUCUCAAGUGCAGAUGGAGUGCAGUAUUUUCUUGUACCCUACCACAUUUCCCAAAAUAAGUUUGCCCAAGAGAUGGAAAUAAAUGUUUCAUUGGCUUGGGAAGUCAACUGUUUUAAACCCCAUUGAAAACCUGUGGGAUAAGAAUCAAAGCUAGCCUAGAAGAAAUGGUCUCCUCAAAGGAACACUUGAUAGCCAGUGUAAAUGUUUUUUAAAAAUGGUUUCAUGAUGAAUUACAGAAUAUGUCGAUUCUGUGCCAAAUAGUGUAAAAGUGAUGGAAGCAAAGGAAUGAAAUGUUGCUUACUAAAGGUUGAAUAUUAAGAUGUGAAAACUGUAAAGUUUGUUGUGUGUACAUAAAAAUAAAUUUCAUUUACUUAAACCCA